rnacentral:lncRNA from 1 species
AAAAUACUGAAUAUAAAAGUCUUUGAUUUUUGUAAGGUUAUUUCUUUUUUAAGGACCAGAAGUGGAUGCUGGGAGACCCUUGAUUGCUCAUUGUCCUGACAGAUGUUAAUUCCUCUUGUGGCAGAUGGAGUGUGUCUGCGUAUUCCCAAGUCAUAUGAGUGGAGAUGAACAGGAAUAGUUGGUUUAUAGAAGGAGGACUGGACAAAAAAGUGGCAACUAAAGGCAGAUUCAGCCCAAGCAGCUCUCUGCUGAACUACUUCCAGCCCCUGCUAAGCUCUGGCAGCGCUGAAGGCUACCUCCAGCCCUACAGAAUGUGUCUCUGAAGACCCUGUUAACACCAAGUACACUCUGGGCUUGUCCAGGCCAUGUUCACCUCUGUGACUCUUCUGUGUUUAACAGCAGGUCAGCUAACUUCAUAAUCCUUCACUGGAUUUUUCUUCCCAGCUUCUAUCUCCAAGAGGAUUAUAGUGCUAUAAUGUCUUUCUUCUUCCCUCUGUUUACUACAGGGCUGUGUCCAAAUGUGAUUAGAUUUACUCCGUGCCAGUGCUUCUUGUUUCUGCAGUCACAAACUGCUAAAAGUUUCGCCAAUCCAGAAAGCAGACCUUAGUUUUGGCAAUUGAAGCUCUUUAAAGCUAUACUACUAAAUUACAGAGGAGUUACUUAAAUCAAUAUGACAUUGAAGAAGGUUGGAGUGGAAAAAUAACAUACAGCUAUUUGUGAUGAGAUGUGAAAUACCCAGAAGGCCUCCAAGUAAUAUCAGGGAAAGACUUCCUUGUGCUGGAGAAGAUUGAUUCAAGUGAUUGUGAUCUUUAGUAGAAGGUAAAGGGAAAUUUGUGUUAUUGUUGGUGGACCGCCUUUGUAUCCAUGAGCCAGUGACACUUGCGAAAAUUCUAGUCGUUAUUUUCAUUGUGG